GUAUCCUUUUUGCCCUUUUGAAUGUCUUCUGAUCUUCUCCAUACAUCAAAGAGAAACAGAAGUUUAAUGCUUGCACUUCUCUUCCUGUGUGGAUUGCAAGUUUGGCUCUUCUGUGACAUCU
rfam:Glycine soja cultivar W05 scaffold2261_31, whole genome shotgun sequence.